rnacentral:lncRNA from 1 species
UGCAGGUACCGUGUAGAUAGAGGAGUCAGAAGAGUAAGAGAAGUUUAUGUAAUAGCAUAGCUGUGGACAUGGUUUAUUCAUAAUGUAAAAGUAUGUUAUGUAAUGUAAUGUAAGUUUUAUAGAGUGCUUGACUAGAGUCUGUUGUAAUCCCUUAAAUACAUGAGAUAAAUGUUUUAUGAUGUUUAUGUAACCCAAGCCUGCUAUAUGUUAUGUACCCCAUUGGAGUAAUUGUUGAGAACUCCACUGAGGGGUUUAUGUUAUGUUUACGCAUGCACAGGCUAGGCUGGGUAAAGAAAUGUUUGAAUGAAAGAAAAG